AGUGAAUAGAUACCCCGGUAGUCCACGCCCUAAACGAUGAACACUAGUCGUCGCUCUGCUAGUCAGGGCGGUGAUGCACUUAACAGGUUAAGUGUUCCGCCUGGGGAGUACGGUCGCAAGAUUAAAACUCAAAGGAAUAGACGGGGACCCGCACAAGUGGUGGAGCAUGUGGUUUAAUUCGAAGAUACGCGAAAAACCUUACCUGGCCUUGACAUUGAUAGAAUCUUUCAGAGAUGAGAGAGUGCCCUUCGGGGAGCUUGAAAACAGGUGCUGCACGGCUGUCGUCAGCUCGUGUCGUGAGAUGUUGGGUUAAGUCCCGCAACGAGCGCAACCCUCGUCCUUAGUUGCCAGCAGGUUAAGCUGGGCACUCUAGGGAGACUGCCUUCGCAAGGAGGAGGAAGGUGAGGACGACGUCAAGUCAUCAUGGCCCUUACGGCCAGGGCUACACACGUGCUACAAUGGGGCGUACAGAGAGUUGCGAUACCGCGAGGUGGAGCCAAUCUCUU
rnacentral:rRNA from 1 species